CCCGAAGCAAGGUGCUGCAUGGCUGUCGUCAGCUCGUGUCGUGAGAUGUUGGGUUAAGUCCCGCAACGAGCGCAACUCCUGCCAGCAGUUGCCAGCGCGUCAAGGCGGGCACUCUGCUGGGACUGCCGUUGAUAAAACGGAGGAAGGUGGGGAUGACGUCAAGUCCUCAUGGCCUUCAUGCCCAGGGCUACACACGUGCUACAAUGGCCGGUACAAAGGGCUGCAAUACCGUGAGGUGGAGCGAAUCCCAAAAAGCCGGUCCCAGUUCGGAUUGAGGUCUGCAACUCGACCUCAUGAAGUCGGAGUCGCUAGUAAUCGCAGAUCAGCAACGCUGCGGUGAAUACGUUCCCGGGUCUUGUACACACGC
rnacentral:rRNA from 1 species